rnacentral:misc_RNA from 1 species
GUGAAUCAUCGAAUUUUUGAACGCAAAUUGCACUCUCUGGCAUUCCGUAGGGUAUGCCUGUUUGAGGGUCAGUUUAAAUAAAAAUCGAGGUGUGGCUGUUUUGUGAUCCAUCGGAUUUGGGUGAUCUGUGACCUUUUAAAAAGUUUAAGUGUCCUAAAAUUGAUACAUUGUGCAUAUCAGACGUACAUAAGAAUAUUUUUUUAUUCGUCCGGAGUUGCUAUCUUUGUAUUAGGUAUGAGGAUGCUGUUUGUGGUAUUGUAUCUAUUAUAUACUCAUAUUUUUGU